GUGGAUUUUAGAGGGUAAUAUUCAAAGUCACACGGUUGCUGCACAGCAGACCCCGAUACACAGAAUUGUGUACUUGGAAUUCUCUCUUAAUGACUUUUCUAGGAGACCAUGUGGUUUUGACUAGACAACCAAGUGAGGAAAAUUCUGAGUGCUAUCUCUGCUCCAAAGCCAGAUGAUGAAACCUUUCCAUGGAGGCUGUGCAGGUACCUCCAGAGAAUUCUUCAGAUUUUUGCGUUUCCUUUUUUUUUCUACUGUAAAACAAUAUGCUCUGUUUUUGAAGAGACUUUUUGAAGCAACAGGAUAAAGAAAAGGCAGUGAUGGCCAAGAAAGGGAAACAGAAGCAGUUAAUGAGGCUGCAGGACCUCAUCUGGAACUAAAGCACAUACCAGCUGAAGAGAAAGAAUGUCAAACACUAUGAAUUAACAGAAAAAGUAAUCUACCACAGGAAAAAGAAGAAAGCUGAUAUAAGAAGGCUUCCUGAAUUGUCACAAAAAAGCGGAACCACUUUAAAU